rnacentral:piRNA from 1 species
UGCCAAAAGCCUGGUACGUGGUAGUUC